rnacentral:rRNA from 1 species
UACAGAGGGGGCGAGCGUUGUUCGGAAUUACUGGGCGUAAAGGGCGCGUAGGCGGAUGCUCAAGUCGGUGGUGAAAUCUUUCGGCUCAACCGGAAAAGUGCCGCCGAUACUGGGGAUCUCGAGGGAGGUAGGGGUCGAGGGAACUUCCGGUGGAGCGGUGAAAUGCGUAGAUAUCGGAAGGAACGCCGGUGGCGAAAGCGCUCGACUGGACCUCUGCUGACGCUGAGGCGCGAAAGCCAGGGGAGCAAACGGG